GCAGUCGAGCGAGACCUUCGGGUCUAGCGGCGGACGGGUUAGUAACGCGUGGGAAUGUACCCUUCACUACGGAAUAGCCUCGGGAAACUGGGAGUAAUACCGUAUACGCCCUUUUGGGGAAAGAUUUAUCGGUGAAGGAUCAGCCCGCGUCUGAUUAGAUAGUUGGUGGGGUAAUGGCCUACCAAGUCUACGAUCAGUAGCUGGUUUGAGAGGAUGAUCAGCAACACUGGGACUGAGACACGGCCCAGACUCCUACGGGAGGCAGCAGUGGGGAAUCUUAGACAAUGGGCGCAAGCCUGAUCUAGCCAUGCCGCGUGAGUGACGAAGGCCUUAGGGUCGUAAAGCUCUUUCGCCAGAGAUGAUAAUGACAGUAUCUGGUAAAGAAACCCCGGCUAACUCCGUGCCAGCAGCCGCGGUAAUACGGAGGGGGUUAGCGUUGUUCGGAAUUACUGGGCGUAAAGCGCACGUAGGCGGAUUGGAAAGUAUGGGGUGAAAUCCCAGGGCUCAACCCUGGAACGGCCUUGUAAACUCCCAGUCUAGAGUUCGAGAGAGGUGAGUGGAAUUCCAAGUGUAGAGGUGAAAUUCGUAGAUAUUUGGAGGAACACCAGUGGCGAAGGCGGCUCACUGGCUCGAUACUGACGCUGAGGUGCGAAAGUGUGGGGAGCAAACAGGAUUAGAUACCCUGGUAGU
rnacentral:rRNA from 1 species